UGACCAGUGAGCAAAGCCUGUCAUGCUUCCCGAUCUGCAGGUGAAGGUGCUCGGGGUUGUCCCUCCCUGCUGCGGCUGGGACUGAAGUGUGGGUAGUCCACAGGGUGCAGCACAAAGGACCUCAAGGCCGUCACCCAGUCAGAGCCCAUUUGUGGCCACCAGUAGAGUUCCUUGCUGGUGUUGCCUCUUCUUAAAGGCCUGGUUCUCCUCUUGUUGGUCCCCAGUGCUCCUGCAGUUAUGGAAAACUGAGGCUUCCCUAAUUUGAUCCUGAAGGUCUCAAAGCAGCUCCGCUCCUGUGGGUACAGCAAGAUGGAGUCCACCCAGCACAUUUCUCACUUGGCAGUUAUGUUAUCCCCCUAGACUAAUGAGCCACCCCUCUACAACAACUUAAUUAGGCAACCAUAAGAACGACGUGAAGGCAGCUCUUUUAUUUCCUACAGGUGCAGCAGCAACUGCAGGUGAAGGUGACCCCAGGCAUCCCCAAGCCUGGUUUUUAAGGCCAACAUUGUCUUCGUGCUCUGGCAAGACCCACUCUUCCUUAAUCCUGGCAAAAGGCACAAACAUGUGAAGUGUGGACCUGCUGCUGAGGUUCACGGAGAAAGAGAUUCAGCUGAUCACAGAGAGACACUUCCACUAUGAACUGUGAUCUCAACAGGAUCAAGGUCAAAACCUCAGUUCAGACACUUUUCUGCCUCCCCUAAAGCAGGUCUUCUGAUUCCAGAGAAAAAGUUGUCAUGGUCCACCAGGUAAAGCCAUAAAAGACCAAAAAGCAACUCUCACACAAACCAUCUCAACAGGCCUCUUCCCACUGACCUGAGUCCACUUGCAGCUCAUCGUGUAGAAGCUGCAGCUCUUGAGCCAAAACUGCAGACACCCAUCAGCAGCAGCUCCCUUUGGAUCAUCUUCCACUGGGACUCCAGAAGCUGCAGGCAGGCUCUGCUGGCACUCCCAGCUCCAGCCAGGAGGAGUAAAUGGCUGUGCUGGGGAUGCAGAAAGCUCCUCGGAAAGCUGAGGCAAUGCUUUCUGUUUAAGAGGAAAGGCCAGUGAGGUAAUUUCAAUGACUCCAGAUUUGGUUAGAAUGAUCCAUAUUUAUUGAGUGUACUCUGUGCUGUCCAGAUAUUUCCCUGCGGUUCAACUGCUGCACAUAAACCACAGUUACAGAUCUGGGUUCCCAUGGUCUCUCCGGGUGAAUUGCAAAUCCUUGGCUAGAAGCCACUUUGUCUCACUUUGAGCACUUUUCUAGUCCCCUUUACUACCCAGCAACUUCAAGAAAUCUGCUGACCAGUUUCUCUGAAAACCUAAAAAUAAAACAUGCUGCAGUGGUGACAAAUCCACAAAAACAGAAACUCCACUUUAAAAAUGAUUUGUGUCUGAGUGUGUGUGCGUGUUUGUGUUUUUUUUUUCUUCCCCGAAAAUUGAUCAAGUCACACAGGAGUCAAACAGAAGGAAUUUUACCUAUGGGAUGCUGGACAUCUGCCCUUCUGCCUGGUGCUUGAAUACAGGAUUGUUUUGUUGCCUGAGUGUGGGAAGAUGCUGAACCUGUCUGCUCGAGUUCCUGCGAGUACCCCGUCAGGGUUAGGGGUCUGUGACCACCACGGAUUUCCCUGUCUUGUGGUUUCUUCCAUAACAUGAGUUAAUGCUGAUAGCAAAAUUGUCCUCUAUUGAUAAGCAAGUUUUUUAGCAGAAAUCCCAGGUCUGGGGGGGAGUCUGCUCGGUCAGAGGGAUUAUAGCAAAAACAUCACUGGGAUUUCAAGAGUCUUCCUACCCCAGAGGCACUGGCAAUAUCACCACCAGGCAACCUCCUCCCCCUACCCGCUCCAAUGAGAUACAGCAGUUUAUCAUGUCAAGCCUUGCUGCUGAGUGCUGUGUCUAGGGCCUCUGGCUGUCAGAGGCAGGAUUUCAUCUUGGGGUCCCUAAGGCCAUAUAGAAAGCCUAAAAUGUUCAUUUAUGUUUCUUAUUGUCUGGCCAAAUCUGUGUGUGCUUAAAAAAUAUCCAGAAGUUUAAAGGCUGAUCCCUGCAUUAUUGUGGCUUAGAAAUUUACUUGGUAUUUUAAAAAGUUAAAUACAUUUCCUAAAUAGCAAUGCCUUUUCGGCUCUUAGUUAUUUUACAUAAACUGUUUAGCUAUGAAAUGUUUCCUCCUGCGCCGUUAAUUUCUGAGAUCAAUCUCUCCCAUUACAGUUUAGCAAAGCAGCUCCAUUAAAGACAAAUAUUGCUAUAUAGGUCUAAUGCAGAGAUAUCUGUAGAGAUGUAUGUGCAGCGCAUGCGUAUUUAGGCGUACAGGAAUUAGUACCUGUUUAUCAGAAUUUACAUAUGUUUGUGUGCAUGUGUGCCAUAGUCAGUAUUCCGAUAAUAAUCACUGUGGGCUUAUGUGUUAAUAAUGUGCGUAGAUUUAUGUGUUUUAUAUACAUGCAGUGUAUCCGUAGAGCCAUAACUUAAUCUGCUGCUCAGAAUUUAUCUCGGCUUUCCACAUGAGCUCUUUUAAACAAUGCUAAUUGUUUCAGAACCAAAAUCAUUGAUGAUAACUCUUUUAGGAAUUGUCAUGUUGUCUAUAAAUAUUUAGCGACUGGAUUGCAUUUGCCAAUGUAGUCCUGUAUUACAGAUGAAAAGGUAGCAUCUGCCGAAAUUAAAAGUGGCCACAUUUUCGCUGUAGCUUAAUUAAAUGCCAAAAUUUAUCUACAUUAACAACAAAGUGGUGAAAUUUAUUGAUCAAUUCACAUGAUAUAAGUUGACAAAUGGCCUGAGCAAUUUCCAUAAUUUUCUACACGUGUUAAAAUUUGUAAUGAAAAAAGAAUACUAUAUUAACAUUAAAUGUGAAAUGAAAGGGGGAUUUUGUAAUGGGAGCGGGUGCCCUGGGGCAGUAAGCUGUGUUUUCCAUGCCCUGUCCAGGCCGAGGCUGUUUGAGCUGUGUACAGAUGGGCCUUUGACAGUCCUACAGCUGUUCUCCUAAUUGUCCAUUAAGUGUUCUAUUGAUUCUCUGAUUCAAAGUACAUGUCUUUCAGCUCAAGCUAUCGUGUGAAGUGGCAGACACAUUCCUCGUAGAAUGACAGAGCUGCUUGAAACCUAAAAAUGUGGGCUGCCAGUUUCAAUUGAGGAUCCGGCUUUCAAAGGGGAAGGCUUGGUUAAAGGAGCUUUGUAAUAGCUGGUUGGAUUUUAGUUUCUAAACUUUUAGCAUCAAUCAAUUAAAGCAGCAGCAGCAGCAUGGAAAGUUUUAAUUCCUAGUUAAGCAUUACAGCUCUCACCUCGCUGCUAAAGUCCUUCCUGAGGAUAGUAGGUUGCAAUGAGAAGGAUUAGAUCUUGUUUAGCUGUAUGCAGAGUUAUUUUUUUUUAAGACCCUCUGACACAUGUAACGAUAUUCUCAUUUGACUUGCAAGUUCACUUUUAGCAUUUUUUUUUAAAGGAAGAUCAUCUGCAAUUCCAGAUUAUGCCAGUCAGGAGCCUGUUUAAAAUCAUCUCUCUUUAAUCUGAAGACUGAAGGAUAAGAUGCAUAUCUGUUGCAAGGACCAUAAAUCUUCAAAGAAACAAAUAGCCAUAGAUAAAACUGUAAAAGUUAUUUAGUUCUCUUCCGAAAGAGGUUUAUUAAUCUAAAAUUUCCAGUCCAUUGUGUCAUGAUUUGGUUGCCGCACUGUAUCUCAUUUCUUGCAAUCGUAUAAGCCUUGUGUUUCAAGCAACGAGAUGAGAUCCUUAUAGUUUGAACAUGAUCAAUUGUAUUCAGACGUAUCACUGGUGCUAGGAAUAAAAUAAAUAAAUAGAAACAAAAAAUAGCCAGUUGAACACAGACUUGGGACGUGAAUGAUUUUUUUAUUCAGAAUGUUUUGUCUUAUUUUACUGAGGUGUGUAUGAACUGAUUUGAUUAUUAAAUUUACACUGAAUUUUAAAUUCAUGUUUGUUUGGCUUUUCAAAGCGUAAUUCCUGAUAGAAAGCACACAAACAAACUGUUUAUAGACUUACUACUUGGGAACCAUCCGCAGUAGUUGUGCACAAAACGAGCUUUUCCCAUAUAAUGUCAGUUCCAUCUGCCUUUAUAUUUUUCUUUUAAAACAUCCCCAUCAUCUAAAUGAGACAUGAAACUGUUUCCGAUAAAGCUUAAAAUAAAGAGAAUUAUUUCUCUUCAAGAAGAGUUUUAUCCUUUAUAGUUAAUGAAAAACCACUCUCCUGUGAAUGUUUAAGAUCUGCUUGUUCUUUAAUCACCUCCUUCCACCAUUGCUCGUGUUAGUUUUUGCACCCCAGCCACCUUUGUGUGGUUGCACUGCUGAUGAGCUUUACCUCCUGAUCCCUCCGAGUGGCGAUUCAGGAGUCCGAUUCACCAACAUGGAGGCUAACAGAUGACUUCCACCCAUCAAUCAAAUUAGUUACAGCCUUUUAAUUUAAACAAGAAGCUUGCUAAUUUGAACGGAAUUAGGGUUUUUGUUUUGUUUUUGUUUUUAACCUUACCUUGUUUGUCUUUGGGACAUCAAAUAUACAAGCAUCAGGAAUGUUUAAUCCUAAGUGAACCAACUAGGUGGGGAUUCUAAGAAUACAACCAAAAUUUCUACUAAUGCAUCAAAGGUUGACAAAGAUGAAAAAAGAAAAAGGAAAAAAAGGAAAAAAAGAAAAAGUGUGUGUAGGAGAGGAGAUGCAUUUCACAUUUUAUAACCAGAGUUUUCCUCCCUGCUCAAUAAAAAGGAGUGUGUGUCAAAUUAGAGAAGUAGUGCAGCAAGCUGUACAACAUUACAUGGUGCCUUUUGUCAUUUUAGGAAUGCAAGUUUAGGGUUUGAGGCAUAGGCCACUAAAAAUGCCUUAUGUCAAGGAGACAGUAACCACCCAGUUGUUUUCACCAUUGAAAAAGGAAAGUGAGAAGUCUCUUUACUUGAAUAAACUAUAUAUUGAUACCUGCAAAACAUUUUGUGGAUCUACUUUGAUUCCAGCACUUUCAAUUACAUUGUUAGCCAGUUUUUUAAAAAGAUUUUUAGAAGCUUUCAACUGUAGACUUUUGUCUUGUUGAAUGAACUUCAGCUACACUAAAUUUUAAGUAAAUUUGUGAUGACUGAGCAAUAUACAUUGGCUGAGCUAGAAUCCAAUAACCCACAGGACAAAUUAAUUUUCAACAAAAAGGGCAGAAACCUCAAGUGCCAUGAGUAUAUGGAAUCUCAGUCUAUCUCUCUGGAGCCAUUUUUGCAAAUCACUACAGCUAUUCAUAAUCUAAAUCAGUCUCCUUUAGCAGCAGAAAGAUCUUUUUUCAUGACAAAACAGAAGAUGACAUUCAUUAGUGCCUAACUUGCAUAAGCUACCUUAAAUUUAUUGGUGCUCUUAUACUUAUCUGGGUAAGAAUUCCUUUGUCUACAGCUAUAGGAAAAUUCCGUAUGUACUACUUAAAAAUAUAAAUUGUCACUUUUAUCAGAACUUUUGGCAGUUUACUUUAUUUUAGAAGUAAAACUGGUGGUUAAGGUUUUAAGACUUCCAAUGGGCGUUGUUUCAAUCAUGGUUAAUAUGCACCCAGGAUAGCAAUACCAAUAUAAGUGAGCAGUUGUACAAAAACCUAGAGAACUGUCGCUGGGUGCUAACUUUUCGCUGUGUUUAAGUACAGUUUAUGACAUUACAGAAGAAUCCUACAGUGUGUGUGUGGAUUUGGGGAGGAAAGCCAAUCCUUGGCUGGUACAGAUGGAGCAGUACAGCAGUGUCUGGUCAGUGUCUCCCUCUUCUCCUCUGAUGGACUGCAUCUUACAUGGAAGAUCUACCAAGCCACACCAAUCUGCCUGCAAAUCUCACAUAUCCUGCAGAAACUGCCGAGUCUGAUUAUUGUAAAAAUGCACAUUCGAGUCAGUAUAUAGGAAAUAAAAUAUAAAUGGAUUUGCUUUAAUGUGAUGCAAGUGAAUACUGGUCUUCAUCCACCUGUUUUAUAAACUCCAUUUCCUGUCUUGGGUACAGACUGUUAAUUCUUAAAUGCCUUUAGUUUGAUGUCUCCUACUUGGGAUACAAUUGCAAGAAGCACUGUGACCUAAAGAUUGACAUGCAUGUCAUUUGUACAAGUGCUCUUUAUUUCUUCGUGCAGAAAAAAAAAGUGGAAUAAGCAUUUGUGGCAGCGUUUGUUAAACCCUGGAUAAAGCUAAAUGAUCACAGAGUGACUCUAGCCUCAAAACAUAUGAGCUGAUGCUUACUUUCAAUUACAAUUUCUUUUAUAGGGUGGAAGGGGACAGGGAUGUUUGAAUGACAAAUGAGACAGAAAAUAACGAGAACGUGGGUUGCUAUGUCUGCUCUUUCUUUUUGGGUAGAAUGACUUUGUGUGCUAGGUCCCACACUGACAACAGAUGAUGGUAGCUCUACCUGAAUGCAAGCAGCAGGUAUCUGGGCUUCCGAAGGGAAAGUUGUGAUCUCAGUCACAACGGCUGCUAUCAAGCUCUAAUGAGGACGUCUCAUAUGGCCAAAGGUCUGCUGUGUUGCUCAAAAUAUUUUCUGGAUUCUAUUUCUAAUUCUCAAUUUCCAUUGCUGAGACCAUCCCUGAAAAGUAACGAACUAGUCCCAGCCCAAGACAACAGAAGAAAGUUCACUCAGUGUUAUUUUUUGGAUCCAUUGCAGGCUGUUGUAACAGGUAAAUGAGAUUAAAAAGCUACAGAAAACACUUCAGAAUGAAUGUUUUCUUCAUGUAUGCAUACAUAUGUUUAAGGAAUUGAGCUAAAAGAAAAAAAAAAAGACUAAUCAAAGACUUCCUGCCAGGAGCAUAAUAUCUGCCAUGGUCAUUCAUGAGGUAUAGAUCCUACCUCAGAUGGAGUGAGGUGUUCAGAUUUAGGGGUGAAAAAUGUAACAGAGAUUUCGUGGUAGAGAUGGGAAAAAUCUUAGGAACUGUCUUGCAUAUUUUUUCCCCAUAUCUGAGCAAAAGCUUGGGUAAGCUCUUAGUUGGGGCCAUCCUUCUUUGGAGAAAAGGCAGCUGUAUAAUUCCUCUUUAUCGCCUGCAUGCUGUUGCUGGCUCUGCCUCAGUGGAUGACCUUGGCCAGUCAUUUCCCUUCUAUAAAGUGGCAAUUGGGCUAUUUACUCCCUUCCCAUAGGUGCUAGGAAGCUUAAUUAAUAUCUGCUUUGAGAUCCUCAAAAGGUGCUAAAGUGUUACUAUAUACUAAAAACAAUCUUUGUAGCUCUAAACACUGAAGAGAAAAGGGACUAUUAACUAGCUGUCAGUUUGGAAGGUGCUGUAUGAGUGCAUAAUGUACUGCCUCUGCUCCUGAAACCACAGACCUUUCUGCAGUGACCCUUCUGUAUGAGUCUCAUCUCCAUGAAAGUUUUCCCAUCCAAGUUCUUAUUGUUAAAAAAUGACUCUUCUCUUGCCUAUUUUCUUCAGGAAGCUGGGGAGAACAAGAAGAAGAAGAUCACUGUGUGGGAAGGAACACAUCUUGCCUCAUGAGAUCCGAACACGGAACACAAAUCCCAUUGCAAGAGCUUCCCUGGUGCUCCUGCACACCUUGAAUGUGCAAUCUGCAGCUUUUUGUCAAAGCACAUGAUUUAUGAAAGGCGGCUGGCUAUGCACUGACGCCUCAGUGCAGCUUGGCUGUGCUGCGUGGGUCGCUCACCUGAAGAAUGGGGAUGACACUCAUGGCUAGUCAAGAGAAGCUGCCAAGCAUCCUUUGAUAUAUAGUACAGAGAUUGCAGUGCACAGGACUGGGAACAAGAACAAAAUCAGGUUCUUGGCCUGCAGGCAUUGCCAUGUAUCUCAAACCAACCUUCAAAGAAAGUUAUUACACUGGAGUGAGAGCAGAUCAAAUCUGACGGUAAUGUUUGCUUAUUAUUGUCAGUUUUCAACUGCAACCUAGGCUGUCUCUGAGCAAUUUGUCCUUUGAUUUGAAGCUGAUUGAGAGCAGAACAAAACGGCUCAAUUAUAAAGUUACCAUAGCCGGAUCUUCUUAAAAGUGAGCCUAAAAAUCUCAGCUCUGCCUCGUUCUGAGGAAAUCUCUGCCAUAAUUUGGCAAUCUUCUCAGGAUGGUCCCGGGGGGAUGGAAUAAAAGAGGAAGGCAAUUCACUGCCUUCGGGUUUCUGGGUUUUCAGCUUAAGCUGAUGGUAUUGAAAUGAAGGUGAGAUUUGUUUAAACCUCUUCUGGAGUGAAACAGCUAUUUCCAGCUGCUGCCAUAUCACAUCGUGGAGUGACAGUAGGGAGGGGGGAAGGAGCUGAGCUGCAGGUGGGAUGAGAGGAUCCAUACAAAAUUUCGGCAUGUUCUCCUGGAGAAGAGCGAGAUUGCUUGAAAACCGAAAUUGGAGUGGUUCAAACUGCCCCCUUCAGAGCAUAUGUGAAUCAUAUGCUUUAAAAACAACAACAAAGCUCUAAGAAUGGAGGUUUAGACUCUGCAAACUCUGCUGUGUCCACGAAGCUACUGAGAAAACAACCCAACACACAAGGUAAUCAAGCCAUGAAAACUCAACACCUUGUCUCCUCCUUGCUGCAGCUCCAUCAGAUUUACCCAGGAGCUGGCUCAAUCUUGCCAGCUUCAAACUAAAUUAGAACCAUUACAUAGACAAUUUUUCACUGGGUCAUUUUCCUAAGAAACAUGGAGAGAAGAAUAUCGGGCCUGGAGUAAACACCAAAAAAAAAAAAAAAAUCACCUACAAACAGAAAGAUCUGGCAAGAAGUACUACGUGUGGCCCAGGCUGCCUGUUACCUAUGCAUACAUUUACUUUAUUCCUCACACCCUCGUGUCCGAGCGUCUCGAACUUGACAUCACACGUUAAACCUUUGCGGAGAGGUGAGUUUCUGCAAAAAGAGAAAUAAUCCUUUUAGGCGGUGACCAUGGUUAAUGCACAUUUCCUUGCACUUCACAAGUGGUGAAUGAGAGGUCUGAUUAAACAUGAUACAAAAAGAGCUUGUAAGUAGCACUGUUUACUAACAUUUCAAUUUCUAUGCCUCAUUUAUUAGACUUAGAAUAAAAAGGUUAGAGGGGUGUUUGGGAUUGUCUUUAACCUUGAUGAUAUUUCCACUGAAGCAGCAUAAUGGCUCUUAAUUGCUUAAGUGAAGAGAACAUGUUGACAUGUCCUUCUUUGUGCUUAAAGCUCUGUGCCUAAACCAUUAUGCUAAUUCAAGCAUUAUAUACACCAAAGUAUUUAUGGGACUGACACAAGUGAUGUUGCAGGUAAAGGGCUGUGAAAUGGUCUGUAAACAGAGAGAAUUGAUUCCAGGCCCAAAGCAAUGCUGUUAAAGUCACAGACAUUGAACAGCCAGCCCUACAAUUUCUAUCCAGAUUGUCAAACUGGGUCAGACAGUGUCAGCAGGGCUGCCAUUAUAGAUCAGAUGGGUGGCUUUAAUAAUAUGUAAACCAACCACAUAAACGCAAAUUAACAUGGAGGCAAUACGGACUUGACUGUGCCUUUUUUUUUUUUUUUUUCUUUUUUUUCUUUUUUUUUCCCCGUGCACAGCAGUUUUGGUCACAGAAUGCUCAAUUGUAACAUUUGCUAAAACAUUGAGGUGUUUAAAUAAAAGAGAGAGAAAGGAUAUCAGCACCAUGACUUGUAACUGCAUCUCUCCUAGCCCAGAGAGCAGCGCUGUGAUUUGAAGGGAUCACAAAGGCUCUGUACACCACGGGAAUCUCCGUACACAAAUAAAUAGUCCAGCUGGGGAGGGGGGUUGUUUGCCAGUUUAUCAGCAUAUGCAGUUGUACAGAUUUUUAUUUUUUUUUUUGGUUUUCAUCCUUGGGUCUAAGGUUAACAAUACAGUUUUACAUUCUGAUAAAAUAAUUUAUUAUCUUACCUGUAUUAUUAAUUGUAGCUCAUAGAUUUUCGGGAAUUAAUAUAAUUUUGAAAGUACAGUUUCCUUUAGGCCCUGUAUGUAAUUUAUUAUUUGCAUUUCACCAAUUUUAGAUAGCAAAAUGAGACUGAUCAGCUCUUGUUUAAUUUCUGAUUUUAUUUUUUUUAAUUUUAUUUUAUUUUUGGCUCUGGAGUGCUAGACUAACGCUCUUCUGUUUAGUUUUUAAAAUGAGGCAGAGUAAUAUCUUAAUCUCUGUAUCUCUCUUGUGCAUUUACAGUAGACAUUUCCUUGAUUCUGAUUUUUUUUUUUAAUGUCAUAAGAACAGUAUAAUUCAUCCUAGAUCUCCUCAUAUGUGCCAUGUGAACCUCAGAGAUGUUGUAUAUUCAUAGUAGUUUGUAAUUAUUUAAAUGACAGUAAAUACAAAAUAGCAGAUUUCAUACCAACUUUUUUUUUUUUAAUGUAAGAUAUAAACAUUUAACUUAAAUUCACCUGAGUGUCCUUUGAAGGUGAUCCUUCAAUAAAAGAGAUAUUUGAGAUUCAACAGACCUGAUUAUAGAUGAAAAUCUAGAAAAAUAAGGAGUAUGUGCAGCCUAUUUCCUCAUAGAAGGAAAGCUAUGCCUUUUCCAGCAAAGCACACCUUGGUCACAUGUAGGUAUUUCCUUUUUUAUACCCAGGAAUAUUUUUGAUUUUAUGUCACUUUAUAGAUUUCUGCAUUGCUAAAAGAAUUACAAUGCAAAAAACAUCACCUGGCCAUGCUAGUCACAAAGAUUUUGGAAUUAUCCAUCUUAGACGAGCAUGCCCAUUGAGAUUACCAACAUACUCGCUGUAUGCUGACAUUUCUUGAAUCAAAUACAUAAUAUCAUAGCAAAAUAUUUGAUGAACAUGAAGAGAUGUAUUUUUUAUUUUAGAUGCUGGAAUAGCAGUAGGUGCUGGGGCCAUUUAACCUCAGGAAUUCCCUAAGACAUACUCCCUUCCCUAAGAUGUGAAGCGAGUAAUUUUACAAUAUUCAGAAAAGUCAAAUAAAUGGAUGAAGGAGUUGUAAUAACUGAAGGGCAGGGUAGUUACAUUAGGCUACAGAAAUAGGAUGCAGGACCCAAAGUGGGAUCAAAGCCUGCCUUUGUGAAUUUGAGCAAGACACUUAAUCUAAAUCUCACUUUUCAAUCUGUAAAAUGGGGCUGACAGUAUUUCCUUUCCUAUUGAGAUGGUUGGACAGACGGGGGGGAUUGUCCUAGCUCUUCAUCCAGUGGGUCCAGCUAUUGCUACCACGCUAAUAUACAUGGCUGGUAGCUACUUCCCACAAAUAUAUAUGUAUCACCCGAAACAGCCUGUUUGGAAAAUGGGUUUCCAAAAUAUGACAGAAGAUAUUUUUGUCUGUGUUUAUUCUAAAUGGCAGUAUGUUCAUUCCUUUUAAAAUGCUGGUAGGCUAUUUAAGAUUUAUACUUUUACUGAAUGGUCACUAUCAGGUUGAAAAAUGAUGUGUAUUAUCUUCAAAAGCAAAUUUUCUUGCCCAGUAUGAUCAACAGCCCUUGAACUGUAAGAAUUCUACCAGACUAAAAUAUGUUGCAACAUUUCUUUAAGUUACUUGCUUUCUGUUUUUCUCUCACCUUGGGAAAUGAAAACACAAUAGUCUGCCUCACAUUCGCUUCUCAACAUUUUGAAUUUGAAGGGGUUUCAGCUUUUCUUGCCAGUAAAAGAUGUUAAAUGGGGAAAUGAAGACUCCUACAAAACAAAACAACACUAAAAUGAGUUUGAUCCUUUAAAAACAGCCCAUGGUGAUUAAUUCAGGUCAGAUUUAGAACAAAACAAAGCAAAACAAGUCAAAACAAAACAUUAAUUUAAUUGUCUGAUCUGCUACUUAUGAUAACAUGAGGUACUAUGGUAAUGUGUCGUGACCAAUCAGUAAGGUCUGCUGUUUCCUUUUUUUUAAUUGCACUUUAGUUGAAGGUAAUAAUCUUGCACAAUAAAAAAAUAAAUAAAAAAAAAUCCUGAGUGCUGAGAUUUGCAUUUGGUGAGCUUUGGGGAGGCUUAAAGGUCCAGCCACUGUCCCACUGGAUUUUAUUUCCUGAAUGAAUAACUUGGAGGAAAACACUUUGGUCUAGGAGAUGAAUGAGACACAUCUGACGGAUGAAGGGAGAACUGAAUGUUUGCAAAAAUCUCUCCAGCUGAUCUAUGGAUUCACCACCUAAAAGGGGAACUCAGGAGAAAAGGGUUCUGGGGAGACUGUGAGCAACACCUCCACCUUCCCCUGAUGCUGCCUCGAUGGAGAAACAUCUACAUUUCAGUCAAGGGCCAUUAGUGUGCAGACAAAACCAGGUAUUCCCAGGCCACAUGGGCUCCUGCUGGAAGCUGAACAUUUUCCCAGCCCCACGGCACUGACCCCAGAGGGCUGGGUCUCCCCAGAGCCCCCAGACUCACCCCAUUAACUCAGCUCCUCCAUAAACUGCUUCCUCCAGCCCUAGAGACCUGUGUUCCUUUCCAUCAGCCACCUGGCAAAAGCAGGGAGAAUUUAUGGCUGAUGUCGAUAGCACGUACUGGGGCAUGAACCCACAGAGAGGCAACUUUACCUCGAGGGACCAUGCGGGGAGAAGCCACCACCACCUCCCUCAGCCCCACAUCUUCAUGGGUUUUUAGAUUUGUGCAUGUUUAGUUGUGUCUAUGGUUCCUCUGCGCCUAAGAGAAGAGGAUGAAGUCUGAUAGCUCAGGCAUCAGGGAGUACAGAGCCUGUCAAUUUAUUUAUUUUUGGUUAAAAUUGUGAUGAGACCACUACAAACAUCCAGAGACCCCAGCAGUGGGAGAUGGCAGAGGCUGUAAUGCCAAGCCUGAAAGCCAGGUGGCCUUGCAAAUGCACGGUCACAGCAGCUGAAGUGGCAGCAGAAACCCCACUCCUCAAAUCAAAACUGGCAAAAAUAUCCCCCAAAAGCCACCGUCAGCCCCAGUCCAGAGGAGAAAUGGCUUGGAUUCUGUUAAACUUGCAGGUUUAACUUUUUUUUUUGGGGGGGUGGAUUUGGAAACUUAGGUUACAAUUAAUCCCCACUGCAGGCUGACUGUACCGCGCGUACUGGCCUGGCACAUGAAAGCAGGGCUUUCGUUCUGGCACUACGCUGACCUGUUAGGACGAGGAGGACUUUCCAAGUGAGGCAGGUGAAUUUCCCCUUUCCUUGAGCUCACCAGCACGGCGGUGGUGCCAUGGGCUUAGCUGUGCACCGAGACAGAGCCUGGAAAUCAGAUGGUCUCCAUCAAUGGUGCACAUGUAACAAAGAGCCCGGAAAGAGAGUGGACUUUGGGUUUAUUGUGAUUUCUGCUUCCUUUUCCCCUCUUUUACCUGCUGAACAUUUCUACAUGUUUGACCCUUUCAUUUUAGCUUUACCUUUCUUUGUCCCCUGAAUGACCGGCAUAAUUCAUCUGAUUAUCUAUUAUCUUGUUAUUGGACAUAAAUUUUACAAGCUGUUGAGAGUGCGGAAAAUCAAUACCUUUUAAAUGCUGUUUAUGUGUGAUUAACGGUUAAUAUCCUCACAAAUUAUUUAAUGUAAUAAGGUCAUUUAUCUUUUGCAUGGGCUUGGUAUCCUGCAAAGAAUAAUAGAAUAAUAAAUGAGGACACUGGUAAAGAGGAUAUUUCAGAUGCUUUUCUGUGCCAGUUUUAUUACCCAUAUCCUCUUUACAGCCACAA